AACUUUCAACAACGGAUCUCUUGGCUCUCGCAUCGAUAAAGAACGCAGCGAAAUGCGAUAAGUAAUGUGAAUUGCAGAAUUCAGUGAAUCAUCGAAUCUUUGAACGCACCUUGCGCCCUUUGGUAUUCCGAAGGGCACGCCUGUUUGAGUGUCA
rnacentral:rRNA from 1 species